CCUACGGGUGGCAGCAGUGAGGCAUAUUGGUCAAUGGACGAGAGUCUGACCCAGCCAAGUAGCGUGAAGGAUGACUGCCCUAUGGGUUGUAAACUUCUUUUAUAAAGGAAUAAAACGAGGCACGUGUGCCUUUUUGCAUGUACUUUAUGAAUAAGGAUCGGCUAACUCCGUCCCAGCAGCCGCGGUAAUACGGAGGAUCCGAUCGUUAUCCGGAUUUAUUGGUUUUAAAGGGAGCGUAGAUGGGUGGUUAAAUCCGUUGUGAACGUUUGCGGAUACACCGUAAAAUUGCAAUUGAUACUGGCAGUCUUGAGUACAGUUGAGGUAGGCGGAAUUCGUGGUGUAGCGGUGAAAUGCUUAGAUAUCACGCAGAACCCCGAUUGCGAAGGCAGCUUACUAAACUGUGACUGACAUUGAUGCUCGAAAGUGUGGGUAUCAAACAGGAUUAGAUACCCUUGUAGUC
rnacentral:rRNA from 1 species